rnacentral:misc_RNA from 1 species
GUGGAGUCGAAAUAAAAAAUACAGUAACAAUUACUUACAAACUUUUAUACUUAUAUCAGGAGUCUAAACCAAAUGUGUUACAAAAAUAAUAUAAAGCUAACGUUUAAAUAACUUUAACGAAUACUACUCGAUUACAAAAUUAGGCAGGUUAACUCUCCAAACGGACAAGGGACUACACGAAACACGUUCACAGUUCACGAAGUGCGUCUCGAACUGAAACGCGCACAGCGUACGCGCGUCAUCUCUCCUACGGUGACCUUUCUUCACUAUUCUUCUAACACGGCCUCUCCUGACUGGAGGACGUCCUCGUGCUCCUGUGUUUCCUGAUGUUAGGAGCCCACCGAGCAGGAGGGCACAGGCUCCGUAGUAGGCUCGCGAGGCGCAUUAUUGCUCCGAGCAGCUUGCUCAGGCGUGGACUCCAUAUCGUCAUCAUGGUCUGCACCUGAGAACAUAAAACAUAUCGGAUCGGAAUAUCAGCAAUUACCAAGAACAUAUUGAUCCGUAGUUGAUCACAAAUACAAAUACAAAUACCAGAGAGGAAGCACGACGUUAGCUAUCUCUGACUGUAAGAAACAUAGGCACGACGUUAGCUUAUUUCUUACAUCAGCUCACCUACAUGGCAUAGGCACGACGUUAGCGUACCAUGAGGCUCGCACGAAUGGCAGAGGCGCGACGUUAGCGUACCAUUUAAAAAUUAACCACAUGGCAGAGGCACGACGUUAGCAUACCAUGAGGCUCACAACUUACAAGCAGGUUUGCCCGCACAGGUAGUUACGGGUUUGUGUGUUUCCAAAUCAACCGCUAGUCAACCGCUGCGGCACCCACUAGUCGGUAGCAUCCGCGAGACGCCAUGACUGACGGUUCAAGAAGACCGCAGACAGAAUACAGUCAGCAGUUGUAUCGCCCGAUUCUGCGGCGCCUGAAGCUCGCAGCUAGCAAGCAGAGUAGCCCGCAGAUAGAAGACAGUCAAGGUUGCGUCGCCUGAGUCGAACUUGCCAGUCGGUUGUGCCCGCUGCUUAACGGUCUCUGGAAUGCGAGCUUCGACUACAACUUGCACCUUCUGUUCGCUCGGCUGUACCUGACCCUGACUGAUAGUCCGUCCCAAGUAUUCUAUUUUAGUGGACAAAAAAAAAGCAUUUAUUUAGGUUAAUAGAAAAACCAGAAUCCGUUAAAGUUUGAAGAACCUUGCGAAGAGUCCACAGACCCCUCAUUAAUUGUACUGCUCAGUUUAUACUGAGAUGAUACAUCGUCAAUAUACAGGACAUCUACAGACUCUAAGUAUGCGUAAAGAGUUUUUGACAGUAUCCGCUAGUAAACAACAGGUGCAUUUGCUAAACUAUAGGCAUUUUCAAAUAUUCAUAGUGCCCCUCUGGUGUGACAAAACCUGUGAGUGGUAUUGAGGCAUUAUCCACAGGUAUCUGGUGAAAUCCUGUGGCCAUAUCGAGACUGGUAAAGAAUUUAUGUUUACCUAAUCGUUCAAUGUGCUUGUCGAUCAAAAGUAAAGAGAAGCGAUCGUUAACUGUAAUUUCGUUGAGUUUACGAUAGUCGAAACUCAUGUAGCCAGACCAGUUUUUUUUUUUUUUUUUGCUAAUAGGAUAGGACUCGCAUAUUUCAAUUCAGAGUCUAGAUUGAUAUUCUUUUCGAGAAGAUCUUUAAUUGUUUCGUGAAUAUUUUAUAAUUUCAGGAUAAUAUUGCCUGUAGGGCCUUUAAUUAACUGGCAUAGCAUAUUUAACUUAAUUGACACGCUGCCGGUGUUAACUGUGGACAUAACCGUCCCAGAAAUAAAACAGUUCAAAAAUGUCUUAAUUAGGUCUAACAGGUUACUUAAAUUUUGAUCAGCUAUUAAAUAUGUCUUAAUCGGAAUCUGCGUAGUCGGCAUGGUACACAUAACAUCAUAUGUAAGACGAGGCUUGUAAGUAAGGUAUUGCUGGUCACGGGUACGUACACGAGUAGCAACUUCGCGGUUUAAUACAUCGGUACCAACAAUACCAACAAUAAUAAGAGUACUCAUAAGUUCAGGGGACACGGCAUGGAAGUCACCUCUAAAGUUAUUUCAUUCAACUCUAUGGCCAAAGUAACAAAAUAAGUUGACUCAAUUUCAUUUCCGCCU